rnacentral:rRNA from 1 species
UACGGAGGGUGCGAGCGUUGUCCGGAAUCAUUGGGCGUAAAGGGCGCGUAGGUGGCCCGGUCAGUUCGUGGUGAAAGCGCGGGGCUCAACCCUGCGUCGGCCAUGAAUACUGCCGCGGCUGGAGCACUGUAGAGGCAGGCGGAAUUCCGGUGUAGCGGUGAAAUGCGUAGAUAUCGGAAGGAACAUCAGUGGCGAAAGCGACUUCCUGGACCAAUACUGACGCUCAUGUGCGAAAGCGUGGGGAGCAAACAGG